UACGGAGGGGGCUAGCGUUGUUCGGAAUUACUGGGCGUAAAGCGCACGUAGGCGGUUUGUUAUGUCGGAUGUGAAAGCCCUUGGCUCAACUGAGGAAGUGCAUCCGAAACUGGCAAGCUAGAGUAUGUAAGAGGGUCGCGGAAUUCCCGGUGUAGAGGUGAAAUUCGUAGAUAUCGGGAGGAACACCGGUGGCGAAGGCGGCGACCUGGGACAAUACUGACGCUGAGGUGCGAAAGCGUGGGGAGCAAACAGG
rnacentral:rRNA from 1 species